AAGGGGCACGCGCAACCUUGCUGACUAGGAGGGGCGCCUCCGAUCUCUCCCUCCUCCCCCUCCCUCUCGUCGCUGUGCGUGCCUACGUACGUACGUACGCCCCUUUGGGAACUGCAGGGGCGCUCCGUGACGACACCACGUUAACGCUGACGCUCCGACGUCCGUUCCGAUGAAUAUGCAAAUAUGCGGCGAAAGGGAUACGGGUUCAAGCCCUGAUCUGGGAAGAUCCCACAUGCCGCGGAGCAGCUAAGCCCGUGCGCCACAACUACUGAGCCUGCGCCCUAGACCCUGCGAGCCACAACUACUGAGUCCGUGUGCCACAACUACUGAAACUCGCGCACUCUAGGGCCCAUGCUCCACAAGAGAAGGCACCGCAAUGAGAAACCCGGCGCCGCACAGAAGAGUAGCCCUGCUCACCGCAAGUGGAGAAAGCCCCUGCACAGCAACGAAGACCCACCACAGCCAAAAAUAAAUAAAUAAAUAAAU